GGAGUAAAAGUCGUAACAAGGUUUCCGUAGGUGAACCUGCGGAAGGAUCAUUAUUGUAUAACCGAGGUGCGAGGGCUGUCGCUGUCCCGAAAGGUCGUGCACGCCCGAGUGCCCUCACACACAUCCAUCUCACCCCUAUGUGCACCACCGCGUGGGUCCCCCUUUGGCUUGUUCGGAGGGGGGCUUACGUUUUCACACAAACUUUGUAUGCAGUGUAGAAUGUAUUUUUUGUUUUUGCGAUCACGCAAUCAAUAUAACUUUCAACAACGGAUCUCUUGGCUCUC
rnacentral:misc_RNA from 1 species